rnacentral:rRNA from 1 species
UACGUAGGGGGCUAGCGUUGUCCGGAUUUAUUGGGCGUAAAGAGCGUGUAGGCGGCCAUGUAGGUCCGGUGUGAAAACUCGAGGCUUAACCUCGAGAUGUCAUCGGAAACCAUUUGGCUAGAGUCCGGAAGAGGAGAGUGGAAUUCCCGGUGUAGCGGUGAAAUGCGCAGAUAUCGGGAAGAACACCUGUGGCGAAGGCGGCUCUCUGGGACGGUACUGACGCUGAGACGCGAAAGCGUGGGGAGCAAACAGG